AAACGAGAAGUCCUUUAAUCGGGGAAAAUCUGGCUUCCAGGAGCCCAAGUAGCUCAGAUGCUCUAAUUGAAGACUAGCCAAUUAGCUUCCGAUUUUGAAAUUCCCCUAACCAUUAAAUAUCUCCUGGAAGCCUGGAUCAGGGAGACAGAUCUGUGAGCCUUGCUCCUAUUCUUUAUGCUGGUUGGCCUUGCUGCAAACCUCUUUGUUUUCUCAAAAGCCAGUCCCAUAGUCUCGGCUUCUCUGUGUGUGAUCCGGCAGUGAGCCUUUGCUUGGUAACCGGAGCAUGGCAAUGGGCAAAUUAAGGUGUCACUUUGUUCUGGGUCUCUGGGGUUGGGUGGUGGAAACGGGGUUGGAGCAGGUUUACACUGUACGUCUAUUGAGAAAGGAAGUCUAUCAGGAGGUUGUUGAUGAAGCCCAGGAAGGAUAUUUGGGGAGGGCCUUGCUUAGGAAAGCAAGUGGGAAAAUAUGGAAAGGGUGAAGCCCAAGAAAUGGGGAUGGUCUUUCUGUCUCUUUUGCCGGAGGAGAGUGUUGCACUGGGAUGUGAAUCAGGUUGGGUUUUGUUCAUCUUUCCUUAGGGUCUGGCACUCUUGGGGAGUGUAUGGAUAUGUGUUUAUUGAAUGAAUGAGGGAGGAGAGGAAGGGAGGCAGGAAGGAGAGGAAGGAAGAAAGGAAGCUGACUAAACUAGGGGGGAGUGCUUCAGAAGUAGAAGAUAAUAGCUAUUGAUCAAUGGCUGGAGGCUAUAGAGAGUUCAAGAAGAUUCAGGAUGGAGUAGAGCCAUUUUUCUUUACCAAAGUGAAGAAGUCAUUAACUAGAUGGGAAUUGUGGUUUCUUUUUGCGGCGGUGCAGGUGGGAAUUAAGCUGGAGGGACUGGAUCUUUUUGACUCAAUUAGAUGCCCUGGUUACACCAGAUCUUCAGCUUCCCCACCAAUCAAUAUUCAUAUCCUUAAUGCUCCCUGCUUCCCCUCUCAUGGAAAUAAACACAUCAGGAGCUGAAUUCCAGGUGCCUGGUUCCCCAGAGACACAUGUGCUUUGUGCAGGAAAUGUUCUGAGAGAUGGAGAGCCUCCCUCAGGAAUUCCCAGACUGGCCACAGCACAGGAGCCUCUGAACCCUCUCCAGUCUGAUGGCUCCGUGCUUAGGACUCCACACUGCUCCAGUGACCCCAGGAAAUGGAAUUCCUUUCCCAAGCCGGAGCCCCGAGUUUACCUCUUUCUUCUUGCAUUACUUCAUAGAUAGAUAAUCUGAGUUAAUUCCUUCAGGGUUCCUUUGCAUUUAGCCCUUGCCUCUUAAUUCUGCUGCUGUUCUUCACUUAAAUACCCAAGGCGAAUUCCCUAAGCUCAUUGCAGUUCUGAUUCUGGUUUUCUUGCAUAAAGAUAGAGUUGCAUUAAAGAUAGAGUUUCUUUCAGUGAAGUUCCUAUGCACAUUUAUUUUCUCCUAUAUUCAAAGG
ensembl:lncRNA